ACUUGAUGAUGUGGACAUUUAUGCAGAAUGUCCCUAAAACACUCCCAAGUCUCGAAAAAUUACUUACCGUCUAUCUAGGAAAAACUAGUGAUGACCUUCCUAAACU